AUUCAACUGAUGAGUCCCAGAUAGGACGAAACACACGUUCUGGAU
rnacentral:hammerhead_ribozyme from 1 species